AUGACUGACACUAAAGCUGCCUCUGCUUCAGGCCUCUACGCGGGUUCUUCCGGACCCGCAGACCGGCUCUUCUCUCCGGCACUGCUUCGGGUUCUGGUCCCAGAGGAGCACCACCUGUGUCUGCGCUGCGGCGGGUUUCACGGUUCGGAUGUGGUGUGGACCCGCCAGAACAGGGAGAUCCUGACGGGCAGCGGGGAUGCAGGGCGGCGCCGCCGGGUCCUGUCUGACGGACUGCUCUGCCUCCAGCAGCUGGACGACUCAGACAGCGGGCAGUACCGCUGUGACGGGCGGCUGGUGGCCGAGCUGCAGGUUCUGACGGGUUCCACCUUCGUGGUUACCGCCGGCUGGACGCUGCUGCUCCCCUGCAGCCCGCCCCACAAAGCCAAGCAGAGGUGGUUCCACCGGAGGAGAGGAGGCCGGCGGGAGCCCGUCUUCACGCGCUUCAGGAACGGCACCGUGAGGCCGGAGAGGGACGGGAACCGGCUCAGCUUCGGGAACGACGCCCUGCAGAUCCUGGACCUGCAGCCAGAGGACGCUGGAGAGUAUCAGUGUGGGGAGCUGCAGGUCAGAGUGAUAGUGUUGCUGGAUCCGACCCGCAUCAGCACCUCCUCUGCUACAACGGCAUCUUUUGUUGUCAUGGAAACAGAUGAGUUUGGCACAAAGAGGAAGGAUCAGAAGAGACUAGAGAACGGUUGGUGA
rnacentral:lncRNA from 1 species